CUAGAGCUCAACUCUAGGUCGGCGGUGGAAACUGGUAGGCUAGAGUACGGUAGGGGUUGAGGGAAUUCCCCAGUGUAGCGGUGAAAUGCGUAGAUAUUGGGAAGAACACCAGUGGCGAAGGCGCUCAACUGGGCCGUAACUGACACUCAGGGACGAAAGCUAGGGUAGCGAAAGGGAUUAGAUACCCCUGUAGUCUUAGCUGUAAACGAUGGAUACUAGGCGUUGCUUGUAUCGACCCGAGCAGUGCCGUAGCCAACGCGUUAAGUAUCCCGCCUGGGGAGUACGCACGCAAGUGUGAAACUCAAAGGAAUUGACGGGGGCCCGCACAAGCGGUGGAGUAUGUGGUUUAAUUCGAUGCAACGCGAAGAACCUUACCAGGGCUUGACAUGUCUGGAACUGGAGGGAAAGCUUAGGGUGCCUUCGGGAGCCGGAACACAGGUGGUGCAUGGCUGUCGUCAGCUCGUGUCGUGAGAUGUUGGGUUAAGUCCCGCAACGAGCGCAACCCUCAUCCUUAGUUGCCAGCAUUAAGUUGGGCACUUUAGGGAGACUGCCGGUGACAAACCGGAGGAAGGUGGGGAUGACGUCAAGUCAGCAUGCCCCUUACGUCCUGGGCUACACACGUACUACAAUGGUCGGGACAAAGGGCAGCGAAGCUUGCGAGAGUGAGCGAAUCUCAUCAAACCCGGCCUCAGUUCAGAUUGCAGGCUGCAACUCGCCUGCAUGAAG
rnacentral:rRNA from 1 species